rnacentral:rRNA from 1 species
UACGUAGGAGACGAGCGUUGUCCGGAAUUACUGGCGUAAGCGCGUGUAGGCGGAUGAGCAAGUCUGCUGUGAAAGCUCCUGGCUUAACCGGAGUGGUCGGUGGAACUGCUCGUCUGGAGACGGUAGAGGUAGUAGAAUUCCGGGUGUAGUGGUGAAUGCGUAGAGAUCCGGAGAACACCAGUGGCGAAGGCGACACGCUGGCCGUACCUGACGCUAAGCGCGACAGCAUGGGAGCGGAACGGA